rnacentral:rRNA from 1 species
GGACGCCAGUAGAGAUAUUCGUUCCCUUGUGGCCUGUGUGCAGGUGGUGCAUGGCUGUCGUCAGCUCGUGUCGUGAGAUGUUGGGUUAAGUCCCGCAACGAGCGCAACCCUUGUCUCAUGUUGCCAGCGCGUUAUGGCGGGGACUCGUGAGAGACUGCCGGGGUCAACUCGGAGGAAGGUGGGGAUGACGUCAAGUCAUCAUGCCCCUUAUGUCCAGGGCUUCACACAUGCUACAAUGGCCGGUACAAAGGGCUGCAAUGCCGUAAGGUUAAGCGAAUCCUUUAAAGCCGGUCUCAGUUCGGAUCGGGGUCUGCAACUCGACCCCGUGAAGUCGGAGUCGCUAGUAAUCGCAGAUCAGCAACGCUGCGGUGAAUA